rnacentral:rRNA from 1 species
GGCGAACGGGUGAGUAACACGUGAGCAACCUGCCCAGAAGCAGGGGAUAAGCCACCGAAAGGUGGUCUAAUACCGUAUGUGAUUUCAAGAGGCAUCUCUUGAUGAUUAAAGGGGGGGACCUUCGGGCCUCCCACUUCUGGAUGGGCUCGCGGCCUAUCAGCUAGUUGGUGAGGUAAUGGCUCACCAAGGCAACGACGGGUAACUGGUCUGAGAGGAUGAUCAGUCACACUGGAACUGAGACACGGUCCAGACACCUACGGGUGGCAGCAGUCGAGAAUCAUUCACAAUGGGCGAAAGCCUGAUGGUGCGACGCCGCGUGGAGGAUGACAGCCCUAGGGUUGUAAACUCCUGUCAUGAGAGAGUAAAGACUUAACGUUAAUAGCGUUGGGUCCUGAUAGU